GUGAGCAUAGUUUAAAUAAAACAUUAGAUUGUGAUUCUAACAAUAGAGGUUAAAAUCCCCUUGCCCACC
rnacentral:tRNA from 1 species